rnacentral:rRNA from 1 species
AGAGUUUGAUCCUGGCUCAGAUUGAACGCUGGCGGCAGGCCUAACACAUGCAAGUCGAGCGGAUGAGUGGAGCUUGCUCCAUGAUUCAGCGGCGGACGGGUGAGUAAUGCCUAGGAAUCUGCCUGGUAGUGGGGGACAACGUUUCGAAAGGAACGCUAAUACCGCAUACGUCCUACGGGAGAAAGCAGGGGACCUUCGGGCCUUGCGCUAUCAGAUGAGCCUAGGUCGGAUUAGCUAGUUGGUGAGGUAAAGGCUCACCAAGGCGACGAUCCGUAACUGGUCUGAGAGGAUGAUCAGUCACACUGGAACUGAGACACGGUCCAGACUCCUACGGGAGGCAGCAGUGGGGAAUAUUGGACAAUGGGCGAAAGCCUGAUCCAGCCAUGCCGCGUGUGUGAAGAAGGUCUUCGGAUUGUAAAGCACUUUAAGUUGGGAGGAAGGGCAGUAAGUUAAUACCUUGCUGUUUUGACGUUACCGGC